rnacentral:rRNA from 1 species
GAUGAACGCUGGCGGCGUGCUUAACACAUGCAAGUCGAACGGAAAGGCCCAAGCUUGCUUGGGUACUCGAGUGGCGAACGGGUGAGUAACACGUGGGUGAUCUGCCCUGCACUUCGGGAUAAGCCUGGGAAACUGGGUCUAAUACCGGAUAGGACGAUGGUUUGGAUGCCAUUGUGGAAAGUUUUUUCGGUGUGGGAUGAGCUCGCGGCCUAUCAGCUUGUUGGUGGGGUAAUGGCCUACCAAGGCGUCGACGGGUAGCCGGCCUGAGAGGGUGUACGGCCACAUUGGGACUGAGAGACGGCCCAGACUCCUACAGGAGGCAGCAGUGGGGAAUAUUGCACAAUGGGCGCAAGCCUGAUGCAGCGACGCCGCGUGGGGGAUGAAGGCCUUCGGGUUGUAAACUCCUUUCGCUAGGGACGAAGCGUUUUUGUGACGGUACCUGGAGAAGAAGCACCGGCUAACUACGUG